rnacentral:rRNA from 1 species
UACGUAGGGUGCAAGCGUUGUCCGGAAUUAUUGGGCGUAAAGAGCUCGUAGGCGGCUUGUCGCGUCGAAUGUGAAAUCUCAGGGCUCAACUCUGACAUUGCAUUCGAUACGGGCAGGCUAGAGUUCGGUAGGGGAGACUGGAAUUCCUGGUGUAGCGGUGAAAUGCGCAGAUAUCAGGAGGAACACCGGUGGCGAAGGCGGGUCUCUGGGGCCGAUACUGACGCUGAGGAGCGAAAGCGUGGGGAGCGAACAGG